GUCAACAUAGUUUAACAAAACAUUAGGUUGUGGACCUAAAAAUAGGGGUGAAACCCCCCUUGCAGACC
rnacentral:tRNA from 1 species